AACGCCGAUAAAUAAACACUUACAUGCA
rnacentral:sRNA from 1 species